rnacentral:lncRNA from 1 species
CAUGCUUCUGAAAUUCCCAGUUCAGAAUGUUUUUAUUUUUUAAUUAUUUUUUGUUCUGCCAUGCAGACCUGCAGAAUCAGAUGGAGGCUCUUCAAAGGAACUACUCCAGCCUGACCACUGAGCUACAGCAGAGAUGGCCCAAAGAGAGGAACAGCUCCUACCUUCAGGGCGACUGUCCUAGUUUGAAGACUUACUUCAUGGCCGUGAUUGAACACUACCUCCCCAUUGAGAAAUGCUUUCCCAUAGACACCACCAAGACUGUGAAAAGCACAUUCUCUGAAUUAUCAAGAAUGAAUGGUGAAGUCUUGACAGUAGUGUGGAAGUGGAUUCGGAAUGCAUCAGGUACCGGCAUUUAGCUGAAUCUUUUUUGCCUGUAGAGCACAUAUUUUCCUCAUGCAAUACUUUGUGUGCCUUGACAGAGAGACUUUCUCAUUGUUCAUUUCAGAAGCUAUAGCUGAAAGGCAUUUACAUAGAAGGUUAAAAUAAAAGGUUUAAGUUUCUUAUUUAAGUAUCGGAUGGAGACACUAGACUUAGGUUAAAAGUCUCGCCCUUCAGAUGAGAUGUAAAACUGAGGUCCUGACUCUGUGGUCAUUAAAAAUUGCAGGGUAUUUCUCAAAAAAGAAUAGGGGUGUUACCCCAGUGUCCCGGCCAAAUUUC